CAACGCCGCGUGGAGGAUGAAGCCUUUCGGGACGUAAACUCCUUUCGAUCGGGACGGAUAAUGACGGUACCGGAAGAAGAAGCCCCGGCUAACUUCGUGC
rnacentral:rRNA from 1 species